UACGUAGAGAGCAAGCGUUGUCCGGAAUCAUUGGGCGUAAAGGGUACGCAGGCGGUCUAGUAAGUCAGAGGUGAAAUCCACCGGCUCAACCGGUGAACUGCCUUUGAUACUGUUAGACUUGAGGAUAAGAGAAGAAAGCGGAAUUCCUAGUGUAGUGGUGAAAUACGUAGAUAUUAGGAAGAAUACCGAUGGCGAAAGCAGCUUUCUAACUUACUCCUGACGCUCAGGUACGAAAGCUAGGGUAUCAAACGGGAUUAGAUACCCCGGUAGUCCUAGCCGUAAACGAUGGAUACUAGGUGUUGGGGGUUCGACCCCCUCGGUGCCGCAGUUAACGCAUUAAGUAUCCCGCCUGGGGAUUACGACCGCAAGGUUGAA
rnacentral:rRNA from 1 species